rnacentral:rRNA from 1 species
GGAGAUUCAUCGUAUUUCCGUGGGGUCGGCGGGGCGGCCGUUCCCGCGGUGGUUGCGUCCCCCCGGGGGGCGUUUUCAACCGGGGCGAUGGGGCCGCGAAAGGACCCGCGAAGGGCGGGCAUUUCUCCCUUAUUAAAACACCGCGACCCGUUCGGUUACCCGGAACCAAACCCGUCGGGGGGUUGACCCGUUCGGGACGUCAAAAUCCGGAGCGGAGCCGCGACGUGGUGAUCUCGGACGGACGGUAGAAAACGAGGUUUGCUUCCGCCGUUUCGACGGCGUCCGUGCUUCGUACCGAGUCGGUCCCGUGCGGACUUCGGCGUUUCGCGCCGUAGGUUCCGCGCGCGGUCGCCGGCUCGUCGUUAUGGAGCGUCUCGGACGGGAAGCGUCCCGGUCGGCGGUGGUUUUGUUUCGGGCACUCACAGGACCC